rnacentral:rRNA from 1 species
AGCGGCGGAGCAUGCGGAUUAAUUCGAUGCAACGCGAAGAACCUUACCAAGGCUUGACAUAUACCGGAAACGGCCAGAGAUGGUCGCCCCGCAAGGUCGGUAUACAGGUGGUGCAUGGUUGUCGUCAGCUCGUGUCGUGAGAUGUUGGGUUAAGUCCCGCAACGAGCGCAACCCUCGUUCUAUGUUGCCAGCACGUUAUGGUGGGAACUCAUAGGAGACUGCCGGGGUCAACUCGGAGGAAGGUGGGGAUGACGUCAAAUCAUCAUGCCCCUUAUGUCUUGGGCUUCACGCAUGCUACAAUGGCCGGUACAAAGGGCUGCGAUACCGUAAGGUGGAGCGAAUCCCAAAAAGCCGGUCUCAGUUCGGAUUGAGGUCUGCAACUCGACCUCAUGAAGUCGGAGUCGCUAGUAAUCGCAGAUCAGCAACGCUGCGGUGAAUACGUUCCCGGGCCUUGUACACACCGCCCGUCAAGUCAUGAAAGUCGGUAACACCCGAAGCCAGUGGCCUAACCCCUUGUGGGAUGGAGCUGUCGAAGGUGGGAUCGGUGAUUAGGACUAAGUCGUAACAAGGUAGCCGUACCGGAAGGUGCGGCUGGAUCACCUCCUU